AUGUCCUGGAACGUGAGGGGCCUAAACUCCCCAGCAAAGCGCACGGCCGUUUGCGAGGUGGCGCACACAAACAAAAUUGCAAUUCUAAAUCUGCAGGAAACUAAGACCGAAUCCUGGACCACGCAGCUAGCAGUAGAAGUAGGGGGCCCUUCACUUCAGGGCUGUGUCGUCCUGCCCGCAACGGGUACUAGAGGUGGUGCAGCCAUCUUCUGGGAUAAGCAAAUAGUUAACAUAGUCACACACAUGAUUCCUAGCUUCUCCAUCACGGUUAGGGUAGAGAUCGUCGGCAGCAGCGAAUUUUUUUGGAUGACAACUGUCUACGGGCCUUCACUGGAUGAACAGAAGGCAAACUUCCUAUCUGAAGUAGCCAGCGCGGCCCCUCCCCCAUCUGAACCAUGGAUGCUCAACGGUGAUUUCAACAUGAUAUAUCAGGCCAGAGACAAAAGCAACGGUCUGAUCAACAGAAGAAUGAUGGGUCGUUUCUGCCGGGCGAUUGAUAUUGCAGGGGUUAGAGAAGUCAAGUGUAGAAACAGGCGGUUUACUUGGAGUAGUGAAUGA
rnacentral:rRNA from 1 species